CAGCCACCAGCAGGCUUGGUGACGCUGCAAGGGGCAGUGGAGGGCGGGAGGAGGCUGACAGAGCUCAGCUACAACCCCGGAGGAGGAUUUUGGGAUCCCUCUGACCCUGUCCUGCUCUGUCACUUCUUCACUGUAAGGGCCUCCAGUUUUGUUGCAGAAGGUCACAUCCAAACUGCUGAAAGCUUCUAACGGCCAAAAAACCAUGCAAGUAGAAAUGGGACUGCAGUGGGAGAUGGGCAUUUGAGGCUGAAGACGCCAGCAUUCUAAAAUGCCGCUGAAGAUGACCAGCGUUCAUUCUGCAGGAAUCUCUCAGCAACUUUGCCGUCUCUCAAAGGUUCUACUUGUUCCUUAGGUCUCUUACUGUCAACAGGCAACUAUAUUCAUUUUAAAAGUGGACAGCAGGGGAUCCCCUGGGUGGCUCAGCGGUUUAGCUCCUGCCUUUGGCCCAGGACGCGAUCCUGGAGUCCUGGGAUCAAGUCCCACAUCGGGCUCCUGCAUGGAGCCUGCUUCUCCCUCUGCCUGCGUGUCUGCCUCUAUGUCUACCAUGAAUGAAUGAAUGAAUCUUAAAAAAAAAAAAGUGGACAGCAAUACCCUUAAUCGAUUUCUGAAACAACUAUAUGCAAACCUGUAGGGUUUGUGUAACUCUUACAUUAGUAGAUAAAGCAAGCAAUGUGAUGAUGGUGGAACACCUUAAGCACAGGAAGAAAAGUCACAGACAAAUCUAUCCUAAAGAAUUAAAUCUAUCCUAAAGAAUUAAGCACAAGCAUGUACUACUUUAAGAAUAACUGUUAUCUACGAGAUGCCUAUAAAGUGUUUACCCUUCACCAAAUAUUUUAUCCUGUUAUUUAAGCAAAAAAAGCUGUCCUAUACAUUAUGGCAGAAACUUCCAUAGAACAGGUAGAAAAUUAAAAAUUUUUAAACCAACAUAUGCUCUAUUUUGAGUUCCUAUUUAACAAAAAAAGUACACCAACAGUUUUUUUUUUUUGCCAAAAAUAAAUGUUACAACUUUACACUUCUAUUUCAUUAUUUCCUCUAUCUCCAAUUUUUCAUUUCUCAAAUAUUCAGAACUGUGUUCUGCCAAAGCCAACAUCUGUCAUUCUUGUCUGCCUAGAACCUGCAUCCCCUUCUGGCAUCAGCACACCCAUUUUCUUUGGGGAAAUUACCUUUAACCACAGCUUAUUUCAAAAAAUUUAGUUAACCAGAAGUGGGGCAUAUAUC